rnacentral:rRNA from 1 species
GAUGAACGCUGGCGGCGUGCCUAAUACAUGCAAGUCGAGCGAACGGACGAGAAGCUUGCUUCUCUGAUGUUAGCGGCGGACGGGUGAGUAACACGUGGAUAACCUACCUAUAAGACUGGGAUAACUUCGGGAAACCGGAGCUAAUACCGGAUAAUAUUUUGAACCACAUGGUUCAAAAGUGAAAGACGGUCUUGCUGGCACUUAUAGAUGGAUCCGCGCUGCAUUAGCUAGUUGGUAAGGUAACGGCUUACCAAGGCAACGAUGCAUAGCCGACCUGAGAGGGUGAUCGGCCACACUGGAACUGAGACACGGUCCAGACUCCUACGGGAGGCAGCAGUAGGGAAUCUUCCGCAAUGGGCGAAAGCCUGACGGAGCAACGCCGCGUGAGUGAUGAAGGUCUUCGGAUCGUAAAACUCUGUUAUUAGGGAAGAACAUAUGUGUAAGUAACUGUGCACAUCUUGACGGUACCUAAUCAGAAAGCCACGGCUAACUACGUG